rnacentral:rRNA from 1 species
AACCUGGGAACUGCAUUCGAAACUGGCAGGCUAGAGUCUUGUAGAGGGGGGUAGAAUUCCAGGUGUAGCGGUGAAAUGCGUAGAGAUCUGGAGGAAUACCGGUGGCGAAGGCGGCCCCCUGGACAAAGACUGACGCUCAGGUGCGAAAGCGUGGGGAGCAAACAGGAUUAGAUACCCUGGUAGUCCACGCCGUAAACGAUGUCGAUUUGGAGGUUGUGCCCUUGAGGCGUGGCUUCCGGAGCUAACGCGUUAAAUCGACCGCCUGGGGAGUACGGCCGCAAGGUUAAAACUCAAAUGAAUUGACGGGGGCCCGCACAAGCGGUGGAGCAUGUGGUUUAAUUCGAUGCAACGCGAAGAACCUUACCUGGUCUUGACAUCCACAGAAC